rnacentral:rRNA from 1 species
UGCCAGACUCCUACGGGAGGCAGCAGUGAGGAAUAUUGGUCAAUGGGCUUACGCCUGAACCAGCCAAGUCGCGUGAGGGAAGACUGUCCUAUGGGUUGUAAACCUCUUUUGUCAGGGAGCAACGCCGGCUACGUGUAGCCGGACUGAGAGUACCUGAAGAAAAAGCAUCGGCUAACUCCGUGCCAGCAGCCGCGGUAAUACGGAGGAUGCGAGCGUUAUCCGGAUUUAUUGGGUUUAAAGGGUGCGUAGGCGGAGUGUCAAGUCAGCGGUAAAAUUUCGGGGCUCAACCCCGUCGUGCCGUUGAAACUGACGCCCUUGAGUGAGUGAGAAGUAUGCGGAAUGCGUGGUGUAGCGGUGAAAUGCAUAGAUAUCACACAGAACACCGAUUGCGAAGGCAUCUCACGAAUCCGCGAUUGACGCUGAUGCACGAAAGCGUGGGUAUCAAACAGGAUUAGAUACCCCCGUA